rnacentral:rRNA from 1 species
UACGUAGGGGGCUAGCGUUGUCCGGAUUUAUUGGGCGUAAAGAGCGCGUAGGCGGCCGAGUAAGUCCGACGUGAAAUCUGGAGGCUCAACCUCCAGCGGUCGUUGGAAACUACUCGGCUAGAGUCCGGAAGAGGAGAGUGGAAUUCCUGGUGUAGCGGUGAAAUGCGCAGAUAUCAGGAAGAACACCGAUGGCGAAAGCAGCUCUCUGGGACGGUACUGACGCUGAGACGCGAAAGCGUGGGGAGCGAACAGG